ensembl:lncRNA
UAAAUGUUAAAUGUGUCGCCAAGUGUAAAGUGGCGACAGUGUAAAAAUCCCCAGGGAAACCACGCCCAUUGCAGACUGCAAUGGCUUCAAAUCCCAAAUCGCGCGGCAAAGAUCGCAGGCCAGGCAUGGCCGGUUCUCUGGAAGUCCAAGACAUCGAACGGGCGAGCAGCUGUACGGGCUGCACUCCAGGGUGUAGCUCCCCCGGUCCAGUCCACAAAAGCAACGGUCACAGGCUGCCCACUGCCCUCCCUGGAAGAGCUUGCCAGCUCCCGCUGCCGAAACAGGACCAGAUCCAUUCUAAAAGACGCUGCGCACCCUGCUCACCACCUGUUCGAUCUGCUUCCCUCUGGCAGGCGAUACAGUUCAAUGAAAUCACGCACCACCAGACUAACCAACAGCUUCUUCCCCUGGGCCAUACGUUUACAGGAGAUGCUGAACCUGCAUCCAGACGUGGACGCGUCAAAGCCUGUGUGCGGUUAAGUGGGAUAUGUGCCCAAAUAAGGAUCUUGCCGGUCGUUUGGAUAAGACGCCAGCAUAAGGAUCUUGCCGGUCGUUUUGGAUAAAACGCCAGCGUGGACCAGUCGACACGAGGACCGCGACUGUCCGCUCGCUUCCACACACACACGCACGCACUCCUCCAAGUGAGGUGAAAGGUACAUUUGUUGUUUGUUUGCUCCUGUGAGUGAAGCGGCCGUUCUGUUUUUGGCCUCCACGUACCCAAGCGACGACACAGGCCUGCAACGUGGGGAUAAAUAGUUUGUGCCG